AUACAAAACAAUGGAAACUCCGAAGAAAUUCAUAUUUUUGAAUUAGAAAUAUGAAUUUCUUCGGAGUUUCCAUUGUUUUGUAU